UAAUACGUAGGCAGCAAGCGUUGUUCGGAGUUACUGGGCGUAAAGGGUGUGUAGGCGGUUCUCUAAGUCUGGUGUGAAAUCUCCCGGCUCAACCGGGAGGGUGCGCCGGAAACUGGAGGGCUAGAGUGCGGGAUGGGAGAGUGGAAUUCCUGGUGUAGCGGUGAAAUGCGUAGAUAUCAGGAGGAACACCGGCGGUGUAGGCGGCUCUCUGGACCGUAACUGACGCUGAAACACGAAAGCGUGGGUAGCAAACAGGAUUAGAUACCCUGGUAGUCCACGCCCUAAACGAUGCACAUUUGGUGUGGGUCAUUCAGUUGAUCCGUGCCGGAGCUAACGCGUUAAAUGUGCCGCCUGGGGAGUACGGUCGCAAGGCU
rnacentral:rRNA from 1 species